rnacentral:rRNA from 1 species
GAUGAACGCUGGCGGCGUGCCUAAUACAUGCAAGUCGAGCGAACGGACGAGAAGCUUGCUUCUCUGAUGUUAGCGGCGGACGGGUGAGUAACACGUGGAUAACCUACCUAUAAGACUGGGACAACUUCGGGAAACCGGAGCUAAUACCGGAUAAUAUUUUGAACCGCAUGGUUCAAAAGUGAAAGACGGUCUUGCUGUCACUUAUAGAUGGAUCCGCGCUGUAUUAGCUAGUUGGUAAGGUAACGGCUUACCAAGGCAACGAUGCAUAGCCGACCUGAGAGGGUGAUCGGCCACACUGGAACUGAGACACGGUCCAGACUCCUACGGGAGGCAGCAGUAGGGAAUCUUCCGCAAAGGGCGAAAGCCUGACGGAGCAACGCCGCGUGAGUGAUGAAGGUCUUCGGAUCGUAAAACUCUGUUAUUAGGGAAGAACAUAUGUGUAAGUAACUGUGCACAUCUUGACGGUACCUAAUCAGAAAGCCACGGCUAACUACGUG